GACUCUAUAGUUUAAAAAAAAUAUUAAAUUGCAAAUUUAAAAUUACACUUCUUUGUUAGAGUUU
rnacentral:tRNA from 1 species